AACGAACGCUGGCGGCAGGCUUAACACAUGCAAGUCGAGCGCCCCGCAAGGGGAGCGGCAGACGGGUGAGUAACGCGUGGGAAUCUACCGUGCCCUACGGAAUAGCUCCGGGAAACUGGAAUUAAUACCGUAUACGCCCUCCGGGGGAAAGAUUUAUCGGGGUAUGAUGAGCCCGCGUUGGAUUAGCUAGUUGGUGGGGUAAAGGCCUACCAAGGCGACGAUCCAUAGCUGGUCUGGGAGGAUGAUCAGCCACAUUGGGACUGAGACACGGCCCAAACUCCUACGGGAGGCAGCAGUGGGGAAUAUUGGACAAUGGGCGCAAGCCUGAUCCAGCCAUGCCGCGUGAGUGAUGAAGGUCUUAGGAUUGUAAAGCUCUUUCACCGGUGAAGAUAAUGACGGUAACCGGAGAAGAAGCCCCGGCUAACUUCGUGCCAGCAGCCGCCGUAA
rnacentral:rRNA from 1 species